CCUACGGGAGGCAGCAGUGAGGAAUAUUGGUCAAUCGGCGAGAGCCUGAACCAUCCAAGUCGCGUGAGGGAUGACUGCCCUAUGGGUUGUAAACCUCUUUUGUAUGGGGAGAAUAAGCUUUACGAGUAGAGUGAUGACAGUACCAUACGAAUAAGCCUCGGCUAACUCCGUGCCAUCAGCCGCGGUAAUACUGAGGAUGCGAGCGUUAUCCGGAUUUAUUGGGUUUAAAGGGUGCGUAUGCGGCAUUAUCAGUUAUUGUU
rnacentral:rRNA from 1 species